GUCCUUCCACCCAAAGAGUUAUUUUAUUUAGUACACUACUACUCCAGUACUCCUCUUGAGAAGGACUUUAUUUAGCAAAACGAGGUCUCUAGCACCGCUCAAGCGCCUGCAAUGAAAGGAUCCUUUCGAAAGUGCACGAGCUGGUUAUGAGUCGUGGAAUUCGGAAGCUCCUGCCGAACAUAUGCCUGGUAGGAGUUCGACGUGCAGGAGUCCGUGGCUGCAAGACUGAUUAUCCAAAUCUUUUCGUCUAGUUCUGGUAUGCCUAUGACCCAUGCGUAAACCACCCACUCAGAUUUCAGGUUAUUUCCAGUAAGAAGGUCGUACUCUUUCACGGCCCAUUUUGCCAAGGCUAUCACACGUCAUCGUGCUUUGUAUCCGGGUACACGUCAUCGUUCCUUUGAGUUGCACUUGAACCACAGUCCGACCUGUGGAGACUCGUCAAAGUCGUGGGUUUUGGAUGGGUUUUUGUGGAGGUGUGGUGGUACAUGUUGGG
rnacentral:lncRNA from 1 species